CACGGGCAGUUGCUCAGCAAAUGCCCACCUCAAAAUAUUUUAUUUCAUUGCCACAUAAAUAAAAGGUCAUCUGGCUUAGAGAUGGACAGGCAGAAGGCAUCCCAGUCUACAUCACCUACAAGAGGAAGUAACAAGGUUCUCGCUGAUGAGUCAUUUAUGGGAUGUAUUCAGGCCUGACUUCUCAUCAUCCUUAUCACAGAACCUGACGGAUGUGCUAAUUACGUGCUAAUUAAAUGUUUAUUGAAUAGAUGAAAGAAAAUGUGAUCUUGCUAUUUUAAAGGCUUUCAUGUGUUCUGUUGUUAAAAUAGAAACAAAAAUUGAAAAAAAACACAUUUUACUCAAUUCAUAACAAACUGGUUUAAAAUAGAAACUGCAAACCAACUUUGGCUAAAAGAAUCCUGGUAUAUUCUGAACAGCUGCUGUUGUAGACACAGUCUGAAAUAACUAACUUCCA